UGCAUUUUUGUAGGAUUUAUGAUUCAGUUUAUUCAUACAGUAACACUAAUGCUUCCUGUUUCUCCAAAAAGAGAAAGCAUACUGACCAGGCAUAACAUUACGACCACCUGCCUAAUAUUGUGUUUGUCCCUUCAACGUCUUCAGCAAUUUGAGCAACAGUAGCUCGUCGUGAGUUGUGAGGGUAAAGGGGCAGCUGAAGGCCGUCACUUGCCCACAGCCUCUGAUGGUUAAUGAUCAGACGUUCUUCCUGACUCUUCCUGUUACUCACACAGUCACGGUAACACUGCACCCUCCUCUAAUGGAGCUCAGUCGUGACUCACAAAACACCAUCACGCUACAGCCAGACGCCCACGUCCACUCCAGUCGUGAUCAUACACGUCCACUCCAGUCGUGAUCAUACACGUCCACUCCAGUCGUGAUCAUACACGUCCACUCCAGUCGUGAUCAUACACGUCCACUCCAGUCGUGAUCAUACACGUCCACUCCAGUCGUGAUCAUACACGUCCACUCCAGUCGUGAUCAUACACGUCCACUCCGGCCCACGUCUGCUUACCAUAUUAGGAUAUUUUGGAGCUGGAUGCACCACAUUACCGUUCUCUCUCUGGUGCCUGAGUCAGAAAUGAUUUCUGUGAUGAAGCAAAUCAACACCAGCGUGCGAUGAUGACGCCGAUUUCCUGCUCUAGCACCUCGACCCCUCAAAUUCAUAUUUAAUACGUAUUUGUCACGUACACAAUCAUACAAAGUACGACAUGGAGUCAAAUGUAUUAAAAAAAAACAAACUGCUGAAAAAUAGAAAUAACACAAAAUAUAAGGAAAUAAAUUUGACAUUUGCAAAAAUUAAACAGUUAAAAUAUGGAAUAUAAAUAUAAAAUAUAUAUAUAUAAAAAUAUGUUGAUAUGAAUUUAAAUGAAUAUGAAUGUUGCCUUGUUAAAUAUUGGUAAUAUGUAUCAAUCAGGCAGAACAUUAUGACCACCUGCCUAAUAUUGUGCUGGUCUCCCUUUUGCUGCCAAAAACAACAGCAACAGUAGCUCAACUGUUGGAUCGGAUCACACGGGCCAGCCUUUGCUCCCCAAGUGCAUCAAUGACCCUUGACCCUGUCACUGUUCCUUCCUUGGACCAUUUUUGAUGGACUCUGACCACUGCAGACCGGGAACACCCCACAAGAGCUGCAGUUUUGGAGAUGCUCUGAUCCAGUCCUCUAGCCAUCACAAUUUGGCCCUUGCUCAUCAAACUCGCUCAAAUCAUUACGCUCGUCCAUUUUUCCUGCUUCUAACAUCAACUUUGAGGACAAAAUGUUCACUUGCUGCCUAAUAUAUCCCACCCACUAACAAGUGCCAUGAUGAGGAGGCUGAUUGUAUCCUAUUGGCCUGUGACCUACUUCACCAGUGUUAAUGUAUUCAUUGAUAGAGACUUCAAAGCAGUCUUGUGCGUCGCUCUGAAUAAGAAAUGUAAAAGUGUAUGAAUUCCUGUCAGAGCUGCUGUUCUUGCGAAUGAAUUGGAAUGUGUAAUAAUAAUGGCAUGGUAUAAAUGUUAUGAUAUGAUAAGACACCUUUGAUUAAGGAGAGAUUUAUCCUGAGGAUUCAUUUGAAGCAGGAAUAGUUCAUCUCUCCAGGCUCAUUCUGACUUCAUGUCAUCACUUGCUCUAAGUAAAGCUCUGUGGAUCAAGGAUCAUCCCAGAUUGCACAGUAAGUGUGUUAAAUAGUGCUUCGUGUGCAGUUUUGGAAUUGUUUAAUUAUUCUAUUAAUAUUAAUAACACUGUUAUUGUGUUAUUGUGAUGCCAGUCAGAGUGAGAUGAAUAAACAGCAGUGUCAUCAAAAGUAAUUCCUUACAUGAGAUCAAGUCACACUUAGAAGCUGAA